rnacentral:rRNA from 1 species
AUUGAACGCUGGCGGCAGGCCUAACACAUGCAAGUCGAACGAGUGGCGGACGGGUGCGUAAUGUCUGGGAAACUGCCCGAUGGAGGGGGAUAACUACUGGAAACAGUAGCUAAUACCGCAUACCAUCGGAUGUGCCCAGAUGGGAUUAGCUAGUAGGUGGGGUAACGUCUCACCUAGGCGACGAUCCCUAGCUGGUCUGAGAGGAUGACCGGCAACACGGGAAAUGAGACACGGGCCAGACGCCGACGGGAGGCAGCAGUGGGGAAGAUUGCACAAGGGGGGGAAGCCUGAUGCAGCCAUGCCGCGUGUAUGAAGAAGGCCUUAGGGUUGUAAAGUACUUGCAGCGAGGAGGCGUGAAUCGCAGAAGAAGCACCGGCUAACUCCGUGCCAGCAGCCGCGGUAAUUC